GUCCUCUCUCCUGCUCAAAGAUGGGGUUCGGCCAACAAGUCAUUGAUUUAGUGUUCAGAUAAAUGGUUGUGGUCUUCCGAUGGGCCACCACGAUCAUCCAUGGAACUUUGCUCACUUGUUUCCCCAAAGUUGUUCUUCUUCAUUUGUGUUCUCCCCAAUGCUGCAGAGGUGGCGUAGGUUGAGGGAACUUGAUAAGCUCAAGGGACAUGUGGAAUUUGGUUUGCCAACUAGAAGGCGCU